UCUCGACCCAAAAUUGUAGAUGGGUACGAGAGUUGCGGGUCGAGGAUCCGGAGGUCACGAGCAGGCAAUCCGGUGCGGCGCAUGAUGGCAUGCUUACUCACCUCCACAACCUGGGCCUGGCCGGUGUGGUGAAGGAGAAGCCAGGCCCGAACACCGACUUUCUUGCGAACAGUGGGGAGGACGGCUGCCGCUGCUUGUCGGUUUAAUGGGUCGGUGUCGUCAUCGAGUUGGGAGUCGGUGGGUUUGGAUAGAGGCAGAGGGUAAGACCUCAUCGUCUUGGUCGGAGUCUGCGCACGGGGAAGGGUAGAGGGUGGAUGUGGAGUAGUCCACACUGGUACAUAGCAAGAAUCCUCAUCGUCUUGGUCAGAGUCCACGAAGGGGCAGAUCAUUGAAUGCGCAUUUGCACGUGCAUUGAAAUUCAC
rnacentral:misc_RNA from 1 species